rnacentral:misc_RNA from 1 species
CAGAGUUGCAAAACUCCCUAAACCAUUGUGAACCUACCCCUAAACAGUUGCUUCGGCGGCGCCCGGACAGGCCCGCCGGAGACCACUAAACUCUUGUUUUUUAACGCUGGCCUCUCUGAGUUUACUGUACUGUAAUAAGUCA